rnacentral:lncRNA from 1 species
GUAAAAGUGUAAGGAUACAAAAAUCAAACGCAUAAUUUGUGUACUGGUUCAGCCUCAAUGCCUACAUCCAGUGUCCUUCCACAAUCUGGAAGCAAAUGCACUAUAAUGGUCAAGGUUUUUACAACAAGGCUUUUAUAGAGACCUCAACGUCAAAAAUAUAAAACACCUCUCUAACCCUCUAACCAAAAUAUAGGAAGCAACACAAAGAUCUACAGCAAGAUAUCCCCACUUCUGCAAUCUUU